CGCAUCUGUGCAUGCAGCAUAUCAAUAAGCGGAGGAAAAGAAACUAACAAGGAUUCCCCUAGUAACGGCGAGUGAAGCGGGAAGAGCUCAAAUUUGAAAUCUUAAAGGGUUUCCCUUUACGAAUUGUAGUUUAAAGAAGUGUUUUCUGUUGAGGUUUUGGUAAAAGUUCUUUGGAAUAGGACAUCAUAGAGGGUGAGAAUCCCGUAUUUGACCUUUACUUUCAACUUUGUGAUACACUUUCAAAGAGUCGGAUUGUUUGGGAAUGCAGUCCAAAAUGGGUGGUAAAUUUCAUCUAAAGCUAAAUAUUGGCGAGAGACCGAUAGCGAACAAGUACCGUGAGGGAAAGAUGAAAAGAACUUUGAAAAGAGAGUUAAACAGUACGUGAAAUUGUCAAAAGGGAAGCGUUUGACACCAGUGUUGUUUUUCUGAAAAUCAAUUAAAGAACUGUUUAUGCUAAGUUGUUUAGGCUUUAUCAGCUAUCUGCUUAGUUUUGAGCUUUUCUUUAAUGCACUUUUCAGUUAACAAGUCAACAUCAAUUUCUUUUGCUGUAAAAAAGCUUGAGGAAGGUGGCUUGAGAUUCGUCUUAAGUGUUUAUAGCCUCUUGCCUAUGCAGUCGGAGAGAUUGAGGUCUGCAGCGUAGAUCCUUCGGGGCUAAAUGCAUUUGUGCUAAGUUAUAGCAUUUUAUAGACAACUUGUUGACUAUGAUUUGUCUUGUAGCUUACUCGCUUAUGUUAUUUUACCUACGCUUAGGAUGUUGAGUCGUAGAGCACGCAG
rnacentral:rRNA from 1 species